CCUACGGGUGGCAGCAGUGAGGAAUAUUGGUCAAUGGGCGAGAGCCUGAACCAGCCAAGUCGCGUGAGGGAAGACGGUCCUAUGGAUUGUAAACCUCUUUUGUCGGGGAGCAAAAAGGCCUCGUGAGGCCACAAGUGAGAGUACCCGAAGAAAAAGCAUCGGCUAACUCCGUGCCAGCAGCCGCGGUAAUACGGAGGAUGCGAGCGUUAUCCGGAUUUAUGGGGUUUAAAGGGUGCGCAGGCGGUCUGUUAAGUCAGCGGUCAAAGCCCGGGGCUCAACCCCGGCCCGCCGUUGAAACUGGCAGUCUCGAGUUGGAGAGAGGUAUGCGGAAUGCGCGGUGUAGCGGUGAAAUGCAUAGAUAUCGCGCAGAACUCCGAUUGCGAAGGCAGCAUGCCGGCUCCACACUGACGCUGAGGCACGAAAGCGUGGGUAUCGAACAGGAUUAGAUACCCCUGUAGUC
rnacentral:rRNA from 1 species